rnacentral:rRNA from 1 species
UACGUAGGGGGCAAGCGUUGUCCGGAAUUAUUGGGCGUAAAGAGCGCGUAGGCGGUCCGAUAAGUCGGCUGUGAAAGUCAGGGGCUCAACCCUUGAAAGCCGGCCGAUACUGUCGGACUAGAGUUCGGAAGAGGCGAGUGGAAUUCCCGGUGUAGCGGUGAAAUGCGCAGAUAUCGGGAGGAACACCUGCGGCGAAGGCGGGUUGCUGGGCCGACACUGACGCUGAUGCGCGAAAGCCAGGGGAGCGAACGGG